rnacentral:rRNA from 1 species
CAGCCGCCGCGGUAACACGAAGGGUGCAAGCGUUAAUCGGAAUUACUGGGCGUAAAGCGUGCGUAGGCGGUUUGUUAAGUCUGUUGUGAAAUCCCCGGGCUCAACCUGGGAAUGGCAAUGGAUACUGGCAAGCUAGAGUGUGUCAGAGGAUGGUGGAAUUCCCGGUGUAGCGGUGAAAUGCGUAGAGAUCGGGAGGAACAUCAGUGGCGAAGGCGGCCAUCUGGGACAACACUGACGCUGAGGCACGAAAGCGUGGGGAGCAAACAGGAUUAGAUACCCCCGUAGUCCCUGUCUCUUAUAA